rnacentral:lncRNA from 1 species
CACCCCUAUUCUCUUAACAGCAAAACAACACCAAUUUCAAUGGAGAACAGCUCCAUCAACGGGAAAAACCCGACUUCAAAAAACAGCUACAAACGACAACCCAACGGCAAAACCUGACUCGAUUCCAGUGAAUCAACCAGGGUUCAGCCAACCGUACCCGUCCGUUUCCAACUACAACCAACCAGCGACCCGACAGUCUGAACCAGCAAACCCGAACCCAGCUUCCCAAAAAUGACCUGAUAUCAACAAACCGCAAAAUCCAAAUCCAAAAAUCCUUUCAAAUUUUGAACGUUUGUACGAUUUUCGUACAACACAUAACUGUCAAGCCUUAUCACCAAAUAAAAUUCCAAAAAAUCAAAAUUUACCCCUGGAUUCCUCCUCUUCCUCAUCGGUUGAGGCCUAGAAAUUCAACCCUCGAAUUUUCCUAUAAAAGGGCUCACUAUUGAGCUAAAGAGGGAAGCCUUGAAGGUUGAUAAAACCUUUGAGCAAAGAAGUCUCAUUUUCUUAGUAUAAAAGUUUUUCUCCGUGAAAUUCAUCGAUUAACCGAAGUUUCCGAGUUGACGAUGACGCUUUUCGAUAGUCGAUGGAUUCCGACAAAUCUCAAGUCUCAUUUUUCCGUCCCAAAAAAGGUAAACAUAUUCUUCCCCUUCUAGUAUUAUUGCCACUUUCUUGUUCAUCUCGUUCUUCGUAUUAGUUGCUUCUUAGUUUAGAAAUACUAUUGCUGGGUUUGUUUACUGUAGCUGGCCUCAAAUACCAUAGGAUUGCGUAAAGAAGAUAGGGAUUUUAACAUGUUGAUGUGCUAUUAGUUUAGUUUUAUGUUUCAGUUUCGGCUUUCUAUAGAAUUCACUAUUUUGAUUCUCUGUUGGUAAUCCUUAACUUCUUGCUUCUUUAAAUUGGCAUAUAUUCUUGGAUUACCGUUUCCAGAUUAUCUUUCAUAUCAUCUGUAUUUACUCAUCAUUAUAUGUCGUCUGAAUUUCCUGUUCAAAUCUAAUGCUGCAGAUUUUAGAGUUUUGCUUCUGCAGUAAACAGUUAAAUGUAGUCCUCUAUGUUGAUAUUCGAAUGUUUUGGUUAAUGGUUUAGUUUCUUCUAUGAUUAUGAUUAAUAAUAGAUUCUCGCUUAUUUGAGCAUAAUUAUAAUUCCCUCACCUCUUGAAUUCAAAUCUCAUGACUAUGGCCCUAAAUUUUUAGUAGACAUGUUCAACCGGAUUGUCUAUUAAAGUUAUAUGAUGUUGUUCCGUUAAGAAAGAUUGUCUGAAAUGCAUAUAUGUCUUUUAAGAUUUCUUCUAAAACCUGCAUAUUGCUCUCCUUCUUUGGAAAUAUCCCCGUGUCGCAUGCUUAUCGGUUCAUGUCUUAAAAUUGUUGUUCUCGUAAAAAAUUAAUUGAACCAUCGAUCUUGCAUUUAGUAAGCAUCAUAGUCGACAGAGCACAUCUUUGAUUUUGUGAAAAUCUAGCCUGAAGGUCGAGAGUUUUGUUUCCUAGUAUAAUCAUAAAAAAUGGAUUUUUUUUGCUAGUCAUCUUGACUCGUAAAUGUUCAUUCUUUAUUUUAUUUUACGCAUGUAGAAUCGCUUAAAACUUAUGGUAGCAUCCUUAUCCAGGUGACUAAAUUUGAAAACCAUUAGUGGUUCUUUCAAACAAUAAAAUAAGAUCUGAUCUUUUGCAUUAGUUUGAUUUUGUUGGGAUUAUUGUAGUCUACAUCCUUAGUAAGGAGAGCCUUCAUUGGUUGAUCUUGGGAAUUAUCUGGUGAUGUGUGGGACUCAUGGAACUUAUGUUGUGUGUCGUUCAUAUAUCAUUUCUUAGAGCCUCUCUCAUGGAGUCAUUUUUCCCCUCCUAUUCUUGUCGGUUUUACUAUUUUUCUGUAUCUUGGUUUGAUUUUGUUAAAAUAAUGUCUACGAUGGGGGAGGUUAUUAUUUAUCUUGUCUACUAAGUAUGCGAUGUCUUUUGAGCACUUGAGUUCAAAAAUUUCGACUUCUACUUGAUUUCCUCGUUAAGAAUAUAUUAUUUGAAUUGUAUACAAUUUGGGGCCGAAACAAGUGGCUUUUUCCUUGAUAGAUUGUCUUGCUUUAUUUUAUUAAGAGGAUUUAGGUUGCAUGUGUAUGCCUAUAUCUUUAUUUCAGUUAAAAUUUGUUGAAUUUUCUCUCGAAAAUCCCAUGGCUUGGCCUAUUGAUAUUUUAUUUAAUGACAAUGUUAUCUCUUUCACAUUUUUGUUUUAACAUUCCUAGUGUUUCUGUCACAUUUUUAUGCCAAUGGUUUCAAUUAGGUUCUAAUCUUUGUCUACACUUGAACAUAUAUUAAUUAUUGUAUUUUUCUACCUGGACUCUUUUUCCUUCCGCAUUUUUGUCAUGGGUCAUUUAUUUCCCAUCUCUUCGAGGUGAUUCAUCAAAAGCCCAAAAGAAGUUCCAAAAUCGAUCUCAUGGCAUAUGGAUAUAAGGAGUCGAAAGAAGAAGGACAGGUUGAAAUCCAUUUUUAAAGUGGUGAAAAGACUCAAAAGUCUCAUUAAUUAUUUUAUUUAUUUACUUAUUGUUGUCUUUAUUUAUUUAUUUAUUUAUUCGUAUGCCUUGAAGCCAAAGUUGUAAAGAUAAUACAGGUAGAGCGGACUUUGGGCCAAAAAGGCUCGAAAACUAGAUUAGGAUAGGUGAAAUGGGUCGAAAGUCAAAUUAGACUAGGACAUGUUUCGUUGAUUUGGGCCCAAGGCCUAAAUCUUUUACUUUCUCCUCCCUUUCCCCUUUUAUGUGUUUAUUUGCUUAUUAGUUUUGUUUAACCAUAGUUAAAAUCCUUACUAAGUCGCUUAAAUUUGUUUUAUGCAAGUGUUUUCUAAAUCGAUCACUUUUCAACAAAUCAAUCUUUUUUUAAGUUAGUCAAAAGAUGUUUUCAAAUAGAUCGGAUAACCACAAGUUAGCGAACGUUUUAGGUUCUUUAAAAACCUUCCUAAAACGUUAAUAGGAACUGCUUACUCAGAAUCAUCGAAACUUAAACGAUUUUUCUAUUUUGGAUUGUUUAGAGUGUCUAAUAAAGGUUUUUAAAUUCUUUUUCAAAAUUAAGUGGCGACUCUCUAAAAGUCGAAAUUUUUGCAAAACAAAUGAUAAGUUGGAG